GAUGAACGCUGGCGGCGUGCCUAAUACAUGCAAGUCGAGCGAACAGACGAGGAGCUUGCUCCUCUGACGUUAGCGGCGGACGGGUGAGUAACACGUGGAUAACCUACCUAUAAGACUGGGAUAACUUCGGGAAACCGGAGCUAAUACCGGAUAAUAUAUUGAACCGCAUGGUUCAAUAGUGAAAGACGGUUUUGCUGUCACUUAUAGAUGGUUCCGCGCCGCAUUAGCUAGUUGGUAAGGUAACGGCUUACCAAGGCGACGAUGCGUAGCCGACCUGAGAGGGUGAUCGGCCACACUGGAACUGAGACACGGUCCAGACUCCUACGGGAGGCAGCAGUAGGGAAUCUUCCGCAAUGGGCGAAAGCCUGACGGAGCAACGCCGCGUGAGUGAUGAAGGUCUUCGGAUCGUAAAACUCUGUUAUUAGGGAAGAACAAAUGUGUAAGUAACUAUGCACGUCUUGACGGUACCUAAACAGAAAGCCACGGCUAACUACGUG
rnacentral:rRNA from 1 species